rnacentral:rRNA from 1 species
AGUGAACGCUGGCGGCAGGCCUAACACAUGCAAGCCGAACGGCAGCACAGGGGAGCUUGCUCCCUGGGUGGCGAGUGGCGGACGGGUGAGGAAUACAUCGGAAUCUACCCUUUCGUGGGGGAUAACGUAGGGAAACUUACGCUAAUACCGCAUACGAUCUGAGGAUGAAAGCAGGGGACCGCAAGGCCUUGCGCGAUUGGAUGAGCCGAUGUCCGAUUAGCUAGUUGGCGGGGUAAAGGCCCACCAAGGCGACGAUCGGUAGCUGGUCUGAGAGGAUGAUCAGCCACACUGGAACUGGGACACGGUCCAGACUCCUACGGGAGGCAGCAGUGGGGAAUAUUGGACAAUGGGCGCAAGCCUGAUCCAGCCAUGCCGCGUGUGUGAAGAAGGCCUUCGGGUUGUAAAGCACUUUUGUUGGGAAAGAAAACCUGUCGGCUAAUACCCGGCGGGGAUGACGGUACCCAAAGAAUAAGCACCGGCUAACUUCGUGCCAGCAGCCGCAGUAA